rnacentral:rRNA from 1 species
UACAACAUAGCGUUAAUGCAUCAAAUCCCAUUAGAACUCUGCAAUUAAGCGUGCUCAAGAGAGAGUAGUACUGUGAUGGGUGAUCUCCUGGGAAGUCCUACUAUUUUAC